rnacentral:rRNA from 1 species
AGUAGGGGCGACUGAAAAGGGACCUAGCCCAGCGCAUAACCUCGCGGUUCGAGCAGAGCCGUCGAGGGGUGUUGCGUAUCGGUGGAUCCGUCCCGCCCGUGCCGUACCGCCUAAGUUACCGUUUGAGUGCAGCUCCAAGGAGGGUGGAAGACCCGUGUGGCGGCGCCUGUCAGGGCUCAUAUGGCGCGGGCGGAGGGAUCGCUUCACCGGAGAGUCGGGUUGCUUAAUACUGCAGCCCUAAGAGAGGUGGUAAACUCCAUCUAAGGCUAAAUACUCCCACGAGUCCGAUAGUUAACAAGUACCGUGAGGGAAAGUUGAAAAGAACUUUGAAGAGAGAGUUCAUAAGAAUGUGAAGCCGCUAGGAGCUUAAACGGGUGGAACUGCGAAGGACGAACGAGGGUAUUCACCUCGUCGGGGGGACGGGACCGGGGUGCUCCUUGAGUCAGGCGCCAAAAGCAAACCCAAGCGAGCGCAGGAGUACCCCACUUGUGUCCGACAGACAGGUCCCUCCCGGCGGGCGUAUUUGUCCCCUCCAGUAGUGAGACGCAGCGAGCCGUCUCUCUUAGGAGCCAGGAGGGCCGGCCGAUCGUGUCCGGACUGGUACCCUCAGUCAGGAGGGGAAACCGGCACGUGCUGCUCGAAGACUGGCUCCGGAGACGGUGUACUCCCAGGGGGCCUUCCUGUCUGCGGUCAGGGGGCCCCUCGCUGUGAAGUAGCGGUGAUCCACCCGACCCGUCUUGAAGCACGGACCAAGGAGUCUAACCUGUGCGCGAGUCUAAGGGUUCUCUGUGAGACCUGGAGGCGCAAUGAAAGUGAGCGAGCCUGUGACGCAGGCUCUAAGCUGGCCGAUCCCUGGCCCAAGUGGCGGGGCGCAGGCCGAGGACUCGCCGCCCGGCGGCCGUCUGCUCUGGCCUCCCUGGCCCUCUCUCUCUCUGCCUCCGGUGGGGAUUGUGGAGGUGUUCGGACGGGGCUGUGCUGGGCGUGCCGCUGGCGAGUACCUUGAGAGCGCACACGUUGGGACCCGAAAGAUGGUGAACUAUGCCUGGCCAGGACGAAGCCAGAGGAAACUCUGGUGGAGGUCCGAACCAGUUCUGACGUGCAAAUCGAUUGUCAGAGCUGGGUAUAGGGGCGAAAGACUAAUCGAACUAUCUAGUAGCUGGUUCCCUCCGAAGUUUCCCUCAGGAUAGCUGGCACUCGGAGUGGUAAUGAAUUUCAUCCGGUAAAGCGAAUGAUUAGAGGCCUUGGGGGCGCAAUGCCCUCAACCUAUCCUCAAACUUUAAAUGGGUGAGAAGUCAAGCUUGCUUAAUAGAUGAAGCUAUGACUGAUGAGAAUCAGAGUGCCUAGUGGGCCACUUUUGGUAAGCAGAACUGGCGCUGUGGGAUGAACCAAACGCUCGAGUUAAGGGGCCUCAAUGAAAGCUAAUGUCGACACUGACAAAAGGUGUUGGUUGCUAUAGACAGCAGGGCGGUGGCCAUGGAAGUCGGAAUCCGCUAAGGAGUGUGUAACAACUCACCUGCCGAAGCAACUAGCCCUUAAAAUGGUAUGGCGCUCAAGCUUUCUCCCGAUACUCGGCCGCCGGGGCAAUAGUGGCUUGGUGCACCACUGGGAACCCUCAAGCCCUGGCGAGUAGGAGGGUCGCAGCGGCGUGCGUCGAAGGGAUCCGGCGAAGGCCGGCCUGGAGCUGCCGCUGGCGCAGAUCUUGGUGGUAGUAGCAAAUAAUCAAGAAAGAGCCCUCGUUGGCCGAUGUGGAGAAGGGUUCCAUGUCAACAUCAGUUGAACAUGGGUAAGUCGCUCCUAAGCCCAAGGACAGAGUCCUGCGUCCCAUGGAGUCCGCAAGCAGAGCAAAAAUAAGUGAAUCUGCAGCCCAAAAAGUUAGUCUGUCUAAUCUGUACAGAGAAGAUUCAGCCCAAAUAUUACUAAAAAGUCUAACCUGUAAUGGUGGUGCCAAAGCAAACAUGACCGCAAUUAUAAUAAUAAGCGGAAAGAGAGAGUUCAUAAAACUGACUGACUGACUGCACUUAGGGCGAGUGCAGCAGCAGUGACAAAGGGGAAAGAUUAAGCCGCCUGCACUAAAUGGCUUUGUGGCGAGGAGUGCAUCAGAGGCGGCAAAUGGGGAAAAUAAUUUAGGCCAAAACAAAAUNUGCAUUUCACAAAUAUUGGCUNUUCCUAUCACUUGUGAAGCAGAAGUUACAUUACAAAAGUGCCUAAUAAUAGACAUAUAUCAAAGAUUAAGCCAAAGAGAGGAAAAAAAAACUGCACCAAAUAGUAACAAAGCAGCACCACCACAUGAGCUGGGCUCAGUGAAUCUAUUAUUAUUGGGAACAGCAGAGAAAGACAGACUAAGGGCAGGCAAUGAAACACGGACCAAUACUAAUUGAGCGGAGGGACGCAGUGGCGAAAGGGAACACGGUAAUGAUUCCGUGACCUGUGUUCGGACUGGCCCGGCCGGCAGGGCCGGGUCGUAAUGUGUGACGAGACCCGGUAACGGGAUCUGGCUUGUGUCCACUGGUGUUCGGUCCGGGGGAGAGUUUUCUUUUCUGUUUUAGGCCCCGUGAUCCCUGGAAAUGGCCCAAAAAGCGAAGGGGAUGAUGGACGGAAAUCCACACGGUGGCCGUAGAGCGCCGCAGUUCAUGCGGUGUCCCGUGCGCCGACACCAGUCCUUGAAAGAUGCAAGUGAGGUAGUCACACGGGCGAAGAGGCCCGGGGCGAGGUCGGGAGUGGCCCCUGUGGCUGCUGCUGCCUGCCUUGGGUUUCGAGCCCAUGUUUCGACACAGCANGUACCCAUCUCCGCAUCAGUCUCCAGACUCNUUNAUA